GAAGAUAUGUUUGAAACUUCAAUGUUGAACAUCACUUUUGUCAAUAACAGGUGGUUUUGGGGUAUCAAGGAAGAGCUAACAGCGUUGUGUAGUCUAAAAUCAUUUAUACACUCUGAAUAAAAAGGUACUAAAACCAUUUAUCUGGGUAAUGUUGAUAAAUUUACUAUAAAGUCCAAAUAACAAAUAUUCCCUGGUAAGCUUUCUGAAAUUUUUUAAUUAUUCACUAUGCAAAUCCCCCCUCGAUGGUUGAUCAAAUAAAAUAAAACAAAGUAAACAGUUAGUGCAUCUUCUUGGGGAUGAUAGUUGGAUAUUAAUCCUACUAAAUAUAGGAAUCUAUUCUUCCAUGCAAAGAGAUAACUUAGUGAUAGUACAAGAAACUUGAUUACCUUAUGAUAUGCAAUUAAUAGAGGAAUGAAAUACAAUUUUCUUUUAAAAAGAAAACAUGCUAUACGUAACAUUAUGAGUUUGUAAAGUAAAAAAAUUUAAUGAAUUAAUUAAUCAUGUAUAUUUCAUGAAUAAGUCAUAAAAUUGUAAGUAAUAAAAAAAAUUGAAGGACUGUUAGUUAAUUUGUUUGCUGAGAAUUGUCAGGAGAAUCAUUCAGCCAAGAAAAAAAGCAGAGGAUUACUUGAAAAAGUCUAGUAAUUCAUACAAUAUGAAUGGAAAAUAAUGGAUAUUGAUCAAAGAACAAGAGUCUUGUUUGCCCAAGUCAAAUCCAGCACUGUUUCCCAUCCCCUGGGAAUAUAUACCGGCUAUUAGCACGAAUAACAGCGCAUGCACAUAUAGCAAUUAUCUAGCUAUUGAUAGGUCAGG
rnacentral:lncRNA from 1 species